UACCAUCACCCCGAGUGGUCGGGACGUUUAUUGGGCCUAAAGCCUCCGUAGCCGGUUCUACAAGUCUUCCGUUAAAUCCACCUGCUCAACAGAUGGGCUGCGGAAGAUACUAUGGAGCUAGGAGGCGGGAGAGGCAAGCGGUACUCGAUGGGUAGGGGUAAAAUCCGUUGAUCCAUUGAAGACCACCAGUGGCGAAGGCGGCUUGCCAGAACGCGCUCGACGGUGAGGGAUGAAAGCUGGGGGAGCAAACCGG
rnacentral:rRNA from 1 species